UGGGUGAGCGAGGGCCGCCCGGACCAGAUGGAAACGAGGGACCUGUUGGAGGAACCGGCAGCAGUGGAUUCCCAGGCCUGAGAGGUGAUCCGGGGCCUGAGGGACCCCGUGGCUUUCCUGGCAUUGUGGGACCUCAGGGCCUGACCGGAGGGGUGGGGCCUCCUGGAAUGAAAGGGUGAACCUGGAUUGAGGGGUGAACCGGGAGAAACUGGUUAUCAGGGUGACAAGGGAACGGCUGGUAAUCCAGGACCGACAGGACCACGCGGAAAACCAGGACCUCUCGGGAAACCGGGUGAACCGGGACCACAGGGGCC